rnacentral:rRNA from 1 species
GACGAACGCUGGCGGCGUGCUUAACACAUGCAAGUCGAACGGUGAAACCUAGCUUGCUAGGUCGAUUAGUGGCGAACGGGUGAGUAACACGUGACUAACCUGCCCCUUUCUCUGGGAUAACGCUCCGAAAGGAGUGCUAAUACCGGAUACUCACACCGAGGCACAUGCCUUGGUGUGGAAAGUUUUUCGGAAAGGGAUGGAGUCGCGGCCUAUCAGCUUGUUGGUGAGGUAACGGCUCACCAAGGCGACGACGGGUAGCCGGCCUGAGAGGGCGACCGGCCACACUGGGACUGAGACACGGCCCAGACUCCUACGGGAGGCAGCAGUGGGGAAUAUUGCACAAUGGGCGCAAGCCUGAUGCAGCGACGCCGCGUGAGGGAUGAAGGUCUUCGGAUUGUAAACCUCUUUCAGUAGGGACGAAGCGAAAGUGACGGUACCUAAAGAAGAAGCACCGGCUAACUACGUGCCAGCCGCCGCGGUAA